CGGGGCCGGGUCCGGUGGG
rnacentral:miRNA from 1 species